UACAGAGGUGGCGAGCGUUAUUCGGAAUUAUUGGGCGUAAAGAGCUCGUAGGCGGUCUGUCGCGUCUGCUGUGAAAACUCAGAGCUUAACCCUGAGCUUGCAGUGGGUACGGGCAGACUAGAGUGCGGUAGGGGAGAUUGGAAUUCCUGGUGUAGCGGUGGAAAUGCGCAGAUAUCAGGAGGAACACCAGUGGCGAAGGCAGGAUCUCUGGGCCGUAACUGACGCUA
rnacentral:rRNA from 1 species